rnacentral:rRNA from 1 species
UAGCUAGUUGGUGAGGUAACGGCUUACCAAGGCGACGAUCUGUAGCGGGUCUGAGAGGAUGAUCCGCCACACUGGAACUGAGACACGGUCCAGACUCCUACGGGAGGCAGCAGUGGGGAAUUUUGAACAAUGGGGGCAACCCUGAUCCAGCCAUGCCGCGUGAGUGAAGAAGGCCUUCGGGUUGUAAAGCUCUUUCGGCCGGGAAGAAAUCGCAUGGGCCAAUACCCUGUGUGGAUGACGGUACCGGAAUAAGAAGCACCGGCUAACUACGUGCCAGCAGCCGCGGUAAUACGUAGGGUGCGAGCGUUAAUCGGAAUUACUGGGCGUAAAGCGUGCGCAGGCGGUUUUGUAAGACAGGCGUGAAAUCCCCGGGCUCAACCUGGGAACUGCGUUUGUGACUGCAAGGCUAGAGUACGGCAGAGGGGGGUGGAAUUCCACGUGUAGCAGUGAAAUGCGUAGAGAUGUGGAGGAACACCAAUGGCGAAGGCAGCCCCCUGGGUCGAUACUGACGCUCAUGCACGAAAGCGUGGGUAGCAAACAGGAUUAGAUACCCUGGUAGUCCACGCCCUAAACUAUGUCAACUAGGUGUUGGGUGGGUAAAACCAUUUAGUACCGUAGCUAACGCGUGAAGUUGACCGCCUGGGGAGUACGGCCGCAAGGUUAAAACUCAAAGGAAUUGACGGUGACCCGCACAAGCGGUGGAUGAUGUGGAUUAAUUCGAUGCAACGCGAAAAACCUUACCUACCCUUGACAUGCCAGGAACUUGCCAGAGAUGGCUUGGUGCCCGAAAGGGAGCCUGGACACAGGUGCUGCAUGGCUGUCGUCAGCUCGUGUCGUGAGAUGUUGGGUUAAGUCCCGCAACGAGCGCAACCCUUGUCGUUAAUUGCCAUCAUUUAGUUGGGCACCUUAGCGAGACUGCCGGUGACAAACCGGAGGAAGGUGGGGAUGACGUCAAGUCCUCAUGGCCCUUAUGGGUAGGGCUUCACACGUCAUACAAUGGUCGGUACAAAGGGUCGCCAAGCCGCGAGGUGGAGCCAAUCCCAGAAAGCCGAUCGUAGUCCGGAUUGCAGGCUGCAACUCGCCUGCAUGAAGUCGGAAUCGCUAGUAAUCGUGGAUCAGCAUGUCACGGUGAAUACGUUCCCGGGUCUUGUACACACCGCCCGUCACACCAUGGGAGCGGGUUCCGCCAGAAGUAGGUAGCCUAACCGCAAGGAGGGCGCUUACCACGGCGGGGUUCGUGACUGGGGUGAAGUCGUAACAAGGUAGCCGUAGGGGAACCUGCGGCUG